AGCGGCGGACGGGUGAGUAACACGUGGGUAACCUGCCCAAGAGACUGGGAUAACACCUGGAAACAGAUGCUAAUACCGGAUAACAACACUAGACGCAUGUCUAGAGUCUGAAAGAUGGUUCAGCUAUCACUCUUGGAUGGACCUGCGGUGCAUUAGCUAGUUGGUAAGGUAACGGCUUACCAAGGCAAUGAUGCAUAGCCGAGUUGAGAGACUGAUCGGCCACAUUGGGACUGAGACACGGCCCAAACUCCUACGGGAGGCAGCAGUAGGGAAUCUUCCACAAUGGACGAAAGUCUGAUGGAGCAACGCCGCGUGAGUGAAGAAGGGUUUCGGCUCGUAAAGCUCUGUUGGUAGUGAAGAAAGAUAGAGGUAGUAACUGGCCUUUAUUUGACGGUAAUUACUUAGAAAGUCACGGCUAACUACGUGCCAGCAGCCGCGGUAAUACGUAGGUGGCAAGCGUUGUCCGGAUUUAUUGGGCGUAAAGCGAGUGCAGGCGGUUCAAUAAGUCUGAUGUGAAAGCCUUCGGCUCAACCGGAGAAUUGCAUCAGAAACUGUUGAACUUGAGUGCAGAAGAGGAGAGUGGAACUCCAUGUGUAGCGGUGGAAUGCGUAGAUAUAUGGAAGAACACCAGUGGCGAAGGCGGCUCUCUGGUCUGCAACUGACGCUGAGGCUCGAAAGCAUGGGUAGCGAACAGGAUUAGAUACCCUGGUAGUCCAUGCCGUAAACGAUGAGUGCUAAGUGU
rnacentral:rRNA from 1 species